CACACUGGGACUGAGACACUGCCCAGACUCUUACGGGAGGCUGCAGUCGAGAAUCUUCGGCAAUGGGCGCAAGCCUGACCGAGCGACGCCGCGUGGAGGAUGAAGGCCUUCGGGUUGUAAACUCCUGUCGAGGGGGAGGAAGGGGCAACCUUGACCGAUCCCUGGAGGAAGCACGGGCUAAGUUCGUGCCAGCAGCCGCGGUAAGACGAACCGUGCAAACGUUAUUCGGAAUCACUGGGCUUAAAGCGCGUGUAGGCGGAUGGGAACGUCGGAACCUGGAAGCCCCCGGCUCAACCGGGGAAGUGGGGCCGAAACGACCCGUCUCGAGGGACGUAGGGGGAUCUGGAACUUCCGGUGGAGCGGUGAAAUGCGUUGAGAUCGGAAGGAACGCCCGUGGCGAAAGCGAGAUCCUGGACGUUUUCUGACGCUGAGACGCGAAAGCUAGGGGAGCAAACGGGAUUAGAUACCCCGGUAGUCCUAGCCGUAAACGAUGAGCACUAGGUAGGGGGUUCGCCGAUGGACUCUCUGCCGUAGGGAAACCGUGAAGUGCUCCGCCUGGGGAGUAUGGUCGCAAGG
rnacentral:rRNA from 1 species